rnacentral:rRNA from 1 species
UGGGGAAUUUUGCACAAUGGGGGAAACCCUGAUGCAGCGACGCCGCGUGAUUUAGAAGGCCUUCGGGUUGUAAAAAUCUCUUUUAUGGGAUGAAAAUGACAGUACCAUAAGAAUAAGGUCCGGCUAAAUACGUGCCAGCAGCCGCGGUAAUACGUAUGGACCGAGCGUUGUCCGGAAUCAUUGGGCGUAAAGGGUACGUAGGCGGCCCAGUAAGUUAGAAGUGAAAUAAUAUAGCUCAACUAUAUAAAGCUUUUAAAACUGCUAGGCUUGAGAGAUGGGAGGGAAAGUGGAAUUCCUAGUGUAGCGGUGAAAUGCGCAGAUAUUAGGAAGAAUACCGGUGGCGAAGGCGACUUUCUGGUCAUCAUCUGACGCUGAGGUACGAAAGCGUGGGUAGCAAACAGG